rnacentral:rRNA from 1 species
AUAUUUGACAGUACCGUGAGGGAAAGCUGAAAAGGACUCUGAAGAGAGAGUUCAAGAGGACGUGAAACCAUUAGAAGCUCAAACGGGUGGAACCGUGAAGGUUGAAAGAGGGGAUUCAGCCGGCUGUUCUCCGGCGGCGGGUGCGGUACGAAUGCAAUUUUGAGAGAGGACCCGGCCUGAAAGUGAGUUGCCGUGGCUCGUCCCCCGCUGUCCGGAGCCCUGCUGGCUUAGUUCUCCCUCGAGUAAGGGUCGUCGCGACCCGCUAGGCGGGCCCCGAGGGCUGCGCCGGACUGGUAGCCCGCGCUGCGGCGUGGGUGAUGACCGGCUGCGGUACUGACUGGGCUUGCCUGGCGGUCACUGCAAGGAGGCUGCUGUGAGCGGCCUCUCGCGACGUGAGAGUGAUUGGUAAUCCACCCGACCCGUCUUGAAACACGGACCAAGGAGUCCAACAUGUGCGCGAGUCUAAGGGUGUACUAAACCCGGAGGCGAAAUGAAAGUGAGCCCCUUGCGGGCAGGCCGAUCCCCUGUUUCGUGCCAUCUUGGCGGCUGCGCUGGCGUUGUUAGUUGAUUUCCGCUGCGCGUGCCGCCGGUGCUGGUACGGGCGGCUGUGGGGUUUACCCCCCGCGGAGAUGGGGCGCAGGCCGAGGACUUGCCGUGUGCGGCGCGGGCAACGGGGCGCUCGUCGUCCUUAUCCCGAUGUCCGUGGGCAAGUACCUGGGAGCGCAUCCGUUGGGACCCGAAAGAUGGUGAACUAUGCCUGGCGAGGACGAAGCCAGAGGAAACUCUGGUGGAGGUCCGAAGCAGUUCUGACGUGCAAAUCGAUUGUCAGAGCUGGGUAUAGGGGCGAAAGACUAAUCGAACCAUCUAGUAGCUGGUUCCCUCCGAAGUUUCCCUCAGGAUAGCUGGCAUUCAGUUGGAUGAGUUUCAUCCGGUAAAGCGAAUGAUUAGAGGCCUUGGUGGUGCAAUGCCGUCAACCUAUUCUCAAACUUUAAAUGGGUGAGAUGUCGAGCUUGCUCGAGACAUGAAGCUCUAUGAUGCAGAAUCAGAGUGCCU